AGAAAAGCACAGAACAGGAUAGGGCUGCUUGCAAGUGAGAAUCACACCCUCCAUUUCUUGGUAGGCAUUUCUGCUGGCAAAUGAAUGGCAUGGGUAUGAAUUUAUUAGGCAAUAUUUAUUUUUUGGAGCAAGUUAUUGAUAAAAGUUGUUCUGCUGCCACGAAUGUGUACAUUGGUGCGGAUGAUAUAUGUGCUUAACAAAUGUUUCAAAAUAGGAUGCUGUGGUAGUUGGUAUAGACUUGACAGGAAGGGCAAUAAAGUAAAAUACAUAUUGCCCAUGGAAAAAAAAUUAUUUGAUUCCAUGUUUAUUUAUUUCUGUUGGUUACUUUCCUUCCUGCACUCCAUUGUAUUGCACGCCCUAAACUUGUGUCAAACUCACGGGAGAUAUGUUUAUUAGUGUUUGGGCCUUGGUGUUUGCGACCUAGUGUGGAAGAAUUAUAAUGGUCUAGAAUGAAUUUAGCUGCCAUU
rnacentral:misc_RNA from 1 species